ensembl:lncRNA
GGAGGGGCUGCAAAAAUGCGCAUUCGGCGCAUCCAGAACAUGCUGCUAGAGGUAUGAAUGAAUGAAAUGUAGUUUUUUUUUUUUCCAAUAGGUGAUAUUGAGUCUUAAAAGGUAGCUGUUUACAACUCAACUAUGUCAAAUUAUUGUUUAGAGCUUGAGGCACAAAUAUCAAUUAAAACUAUAAAUACUUAAUAAUAAAACAAAUUAUAGGUGAUGUGGAUCAUGAUUGGCAGAGUAAUAUGCAAGAUUUUGCAGUUUUUCUAUUUGUUACCUGGAUUUUUCAAGUUCAUGAAUUGAUCAUUUCAGAGAAAUGAUCUUUGAAAUGAUCAAUUCAUUAUUUUGAUUAUCACUGGAAAUCUAUAAUUGGUACAGUUCAGGCCAUAUAAAGUCAAUCCUUUUUUUUUUUUUUUUGGAUGUAAUUAUCAAAAACCCAUCCUCCUCGAAGAGCAGUUCGACAUUCUUUUUCUUAUUCACAGGACGAUUCUGUGGAGAGAAGGCGAGAGGUCGCUAUCCGUGGCUUAGUGGUGUAUCUCAGGGAAAAGGAGGAGGAUCUCUUCAAAGAGCAGGUAAAUCAGACAUGACUAUACUUUGUAUUAGAGCUACGAUCUAAUCUAUUAUUAAUUGAUUUCUAAAUUAAUCGGCAACUAUUUUGAUAAUUGAUUGAUCGGUUUAAGUAAUUAUUUUAGAAAAAGAAGUCCAAAUUCUCUGGUUUCAGCUUCAUAAAUGUGAAUCGUUUCUGGUUUCUUUACUCCUCUAUGACAGCAAACUGAAUAUGUUUGACAUUUGAGGUCAUCAUAUUGGGCUCUGAGAAACAUUGACAUUUUUCACCAUUUUCUGACAUUUUCUGGAC